UGCUCAGGACGAACGCUGGCGGCGUGCUUAACACAUGCAAGUCGAGCGGUAAGGCCCUUCGGGGUACACGAGCGGCGAACGGGUGAGUAACACGUGAGCAACCUGCCCCUGACUCCGGGAUAAGCGGUGGAAACGCCGUCUAAUACCGGAUACGACCCGCCACCUCAUGGUGGAGGGUGGAAAGUUUUUCGGUCAGGGAUGGGCUCGCGGCCUAUCAGCUUGUUGGUGGGGUAACGGCCUACCAAGGCGAUUACGGGUAGCCGGCCUGAGAGGGCGACCGGCCACACUGGGACUGAGACACGGCCCAGACUCCUGCGGGAGGCAGCAGUGGGGAAUAUUGCGCAAUGGGCGAAAGCCUGACGCAGCGACGCCGCGUGGGGGAUGACGGCCUUCGGGUUGUAAACCUCUUUUACCACCAACGCAGGCCCGGAGUUUUCUUCGGGUUGACGGUAGGUGGGGAAUAAGGACCGGCUAACUACGUGCCAGCAGCCGCGGUAAUACGUAGGGUCCGAGCGUUGUCCGGAAUUAUUGGGCGUAAAGAGCUUGUAGGCGGCGUGUCGCGUUUGCUGUGAAAGACCGGGGCUUAACUCCGGUUUUGCAGUGGAUACGGGCAUGCUAGAGGUAGGUAGGGGAGACUGGAAUUCCUGGUGUAGCGGUGAAAUGCGCAGAUAUCAGGAGGAACACCGGUGGCGAAGGCGGGUCUUUGGGCCUUACCUGACGCUGAGGAGCGAAAGCAUGGGGAGCGAACAGGAUUAGAUACCCUGGUAGUCCAUGCCGUAAACGUUGGGCGCUAGG
rnacentral:rRNA from 1 species